GACGUAGGGCGCGAGCGUUGUCCGGAUUUAUUGGGCGUAAAGAGCUCGUAGGCGGCUUGUCGCGUCGUUCGUGAAAACCCGGGGCUCAACUCCGGGCUUGCGGGCGAUACGGGCAGGCUAGAGUUCGGUAGGGGAGACUGGAAUUCCUGGUGUAGCGGUGAAAUGCGCAGAUAUCGGGAGGAACACCAGUGGCGCAGGCGGCGUCCUGGACCGGCACUGACGCUGAGGAGCGAAAGCGUGGGGAGCGAUCCGG
rnacentral:rRNA from 1 species